rnacentral:rRNA from 1 species
UACGGUAGGGUGCAGGCGUUAAUCGGAAUUACUGGGCGUAAAGCGCGCGUAGGCGGUCUGUUAAGUGGGAUGUGAAUCCCCGGGCGUUAACCUGGGAAUUGCAUUUCAAACUGGCCGACUAGUAGUACGGUAGAGGGAGGUAGGAAUUUCCUGUGAUAGCGGGUGAAAUGCGUAGAUAUAGGAAGGAAUACCAGUGGCGAAGGCGGCCUCCUGGAUCGAUACUGACGCUGAGGCGCGAA